GCAUGGCAGAAUUCUGUUGUACUCUGUCUAUAGUACACGCAGCCAGACACCAUGCUACAUCAUCCACUCUCUCUCUGUGCAUUUCAAUAGUGAUGAUGAUCAUCGCACAGUCAUCAUCAGACACAUCAGAGCGAGUACAUUC